AUGGCUGUGUUCAAUUCGGUGCUACCAGAGAAACAGCAGUACUGCUUUGCAGACGGCUAACAGACGUCUGACUUUAAAUUCACGGAGCUAUAGAAGUGUGCGUUUUAUCACAGAUCAGCUAACGUUGGUUUAGCCUUGCUCACAGAACAUCAUGCCUGAAGUGAAGUCAAUAUUUCGGGAAGUCCUUCCUAAGCAAGCUGUCCAUGGAAGAUGUCCCCACCAUGGUGCUGUGCAAACCUAAACUGCUUCCUCUGAAAUCAGUCACUCUGGAAAAGCUGGA